GCUUGGCGGCACAGUGGUUAGCGCUGCUGUCUCGCUAUAAGCAGGUUCCGGGCUCAAGCCCUGGCUGACCA